UACGUAGGGUGCAAGCGUUGUCCGGAAUUAUUGGGCGUAAAGAGCUCGUAGGCGGUUUGUUGCGUCGGCUGUGAAAUCCCGAGGCUCAACCUCGGGUCUGCAGUCGAUACGAGCAAACUAGAGUGUUGCAGGGGAGACUGGAAUUCCUGGUGUAGCGGUGAAAUGCGCAGAUAUCAGGAGGAACACCGGUGGCGAAGGCGGGUCUCUGGGCAUCAACUGACGCUGAGGAGCGAAAGCGUGGGGAGCGAACAGG
rnacentral:rRNA from 1 species